rnacentral:lncRNA from 1 species
AGUGCAGACCUUGACCCCUUAUUGGUUGUGACACCUUGGGAAAGUUAUUCAGCCUUAUUAAACCUCGAUUUUCUCAUCUAUAAAAAGAAGGUGACAGUUUCUGCCCUGCUUCUUUUACAGGGCGGUUGAAUGUGAAAGGGUCCUACAAAUGUGGUCAUGCCGUGUUUUAAACUGUCUGUAACCAAUUGCUACGACUUCUGCACAAACCCAUCCCGGAGGUCCGAGUGCCAAAGCUGCCCUUCAUGACUCGCGUCCACAGCCUGCAAAGCCCCUAGUGGAUCCUACCUCUGUGGCUGCUGCGACAGAGCUGCUGCCUUACCUGAGGCUUCCACGAACAACAGAGACAUCUGUAAGUAGUGAACUGGAGCCAUUCUCUGGAGCAUCCGUGGGGUCCUCAUGUUUGGGGAAGCUUGGGAUUCUUGAGAAUUGAUGACUCAGCAAAUGGAGUUCUGUGCUGGCUCAGAGAAAGGAGCAUCACACAGACAGGGGCCCAGUACAUACUGAUGUACAAGUGCACUUGACUUUGUAAAGCUAGUGCCCAGAUUAGUCUGUGAGGUCGGUGGGCAGCCCUGGCCUGGAGUGACCAACAAGACUGCCCAGCUUCCCUUCAUCUACAAGACUGGAGAAGUCACUCCUCACCACGUGAAAGAUAUCAUUGGCUGACUCAUCUGCCUCACAGGCUUCUUUUGAAUGGAAAAUGAAAUAAAACAUGGGAAGAGCCAUGCACCAUUUGUGCAGAGAUGCCCUGUACUCCAACAGAUAUAUGGGAAACAUGUUCGGCCAGAAACAUGAAUAAGGAGUCAC